CCCUUUUUGUUCGAUUUUGAUGUCUUAGGAUUUUUUUAUAUUUAAAUAAUUUUUGAAUUAUUUUAGAUAUUUAUCUUUUUCUAUCAUUUUGUCAUUCAAAAGCAGCUCGUGGGUCUGUUAACUAAUAGUAAAUUAUUUCCAUAGCUUCAAAAUAGUUUUAAAAUAUUAACAAUCAAACAAAAAACUAUUUUGUUCUAAAGCGGC
rnacentral:lncRNA from 1 species